CUGUAAUCCGCUUGUAGUCUGUUCACAUUACUUGCUUAUCUUUAGGUUUCCAUGUUAGUUUGGACUUUGUUCCAUCUGAGAGUUCUUCUUUUAAAAGUAACACAGGAGCGGAGCAGUGGGGCUGUCCUGGUGUUUAAUAGGCUGACUGUACAGCCCACUGGCCAGCUUUACCCUGCUGCCACAGGAGCUGAAGCCAGAAUAAAGAUGACAAUGUCAAAGCGCAGGCAGCCACUGACUUGCAUUUUAUGAAUCACCAAGGACCAUGGUUUCAGCUAAAAGUCUUCUUUACUGUUCUACUCAAGAAAAGAAAAAGUCACCUACAUCUUGCAUAUCCUGAGGCAAUUGAAGAACAGUUGGAGAGGAGAAGAUAAAAAAGGAAGGGAAGGAAAAAGCAGACGAAAGGUCACCAGGAUGUGAGGCUUCUAUUAUCAGCAAUCUUCUCCUGGCUUCCACAGGCAGCUUGUUUCUAAACUGCCACCUAGCCAAGCAUGAAGGGAGUAUAAUUUUAGCCAAUCUCCCAGUAGCUUGGGUGUACAGAAAGGCAUUGUAGGCCAGCAAAAUGGUCACAAUAGAGGCACUGGCCACUGAUAAAGAUCUGCAUAGGUAAUGCCAGGACAGCAAUAAGUGAAUUUUUUUGCGUCCCUGCAUUCAGACGGCACUACCUAACAGCUUUGACCACUAUUUGUCCCUUUGGCUUUGAAAGUGAUGGAUAGAAUUUUUGUGCAGUAUAAUUGCAAGGGCCAGGGCAUGUGUGGAAAUUGAUUAAUUCCCUGAGCGAAAAAUGCAUUACCCUGGAUACUUCUUUACUGUUUAUCAGGCCAUGCAGCCAAAGGCUUUGUUUGCUCUCUUCAACUUUCCCCAGCUACCCCUAACAGGGCCUUUUCAAGGGGUCUCUGCUUUGGCUUCUAGUCAUUUUGGUAGUAUUUGUUGUGCUACACCUUUGGUAUCAAAGGAAACAGUGAGGGCAGAAAACAGAGACAAACACAUAAGCUCUUUAAUCACAUUUAUUAUGCAUCUUGUAAGAAACGUGUUAAAGGGACCGUUCGCUCAAUAAUGAAAAUUGUUGUGAUUUUCUCACCCUCCUGUUUUUGGUGACAAUUUUCUUCUCUGCACAUUUAAACCUGGAACCCC
ensembl:lncRNA